rnacentral:rRNA from 1 species
CUACGGGGCGCUGCAGUGAGGAAUAUUGCACAAUGGGGGGAACCCUGAUGCAGCAACGCCGCGUGGAGGAUGACGCAUUUCGGUGUGUAAACUCCUUUUAUAUGUCAAGAAAAUGACGGUAGCAUAUGAAUAAGCACCGGCUAACUCCGUGCCAGCCGCGGUAAUACGGAGGGUGCAAGCGUUACUCGGAAUCACUGGGCGUAAAGGACGCGUAGGCGGGUUGGAAAGUCAGGUGUGAAAUCCUACAGCUUAACUGUAGAACUGCACUUGAAACUUCUAAUCUAGAGUAUGGGAGGGGGAGAUGGAAUUAGUGGUGUAGGGGUAAAAUCCGUAGAUAUCACUAGGAAUACCUAAAGCGAAGGCGAUCUCCUGGAACAUUACUGACGCUAAGGCGUGAAAGCGUGGGGAGCAAACAGGAUUAGAUACCCCGGUAGUC